ACGUACGCUGGCGGCACGCCUAACACAUGCAAGUCGAACGAAGUAGCAAUACUUAGUGGCAGACGGGUGAGUAACAUGUGGGUAUCUACCCUUUGGCCUGGAAUAACACGAGGAAACUUGUGCUAAUACCGGAUAAGUCUUUACGGAGAAAGCUUUAUGCACCAUUGGAUGAGCCCGCACUUGAUUAGUUUGUUGGUAGGGUAAUGGCCUACCAAGACUAUGAUCAAUAGCUGAUUUGAGAGGAUGAUCAGCCACAUUGGGACUGAGACACGGCCCAAACUCCUACGGGAGGCAGCAGUGGGGAAUCUUGCACAAUGGAGGAAACUCUGAUGCAGCGAUGCCGCGUGAGUGAAGAAGGCCUUUGGGUUGUAAAGCUCUUUCGUCGGGGAAGAAAAUGACUGUACCCGAAUAAGAAGGUCCGGCUAACUUCGUGCC
rnacentral:rRNA from 1 species